UACGAAGGGGGCUAGCGUUGUUCGGAAUCACUGGGCGUAAAGCGCACGUAGGCGGAUCUUUAAGUCAGGGGUGAAAUCCCGAGGCUCAACCUCGGAACUGCCUUUGAUACUGGGGAUCUCGAGUCCGGGAGAGGUGAGUGGAACUGCGAGUGUAGAGGUGAAAUUCGUAGAUAUUGCAAGAACACCAGUGGCGAAGGCGGCUCACUGGCCCGGAACUGACGCUGAGGUGCGAA
rnacentral:rRNA from 1 species